CGCCCAUCUUUGCACCCAUACGAUGAAAAAAAUCUCUCGUUAAAUAAGCAGUACCCCACUUGUUAUCGGUUGUAUUUCUGUAGAACUUAUAAAAUGUGUCCCAAUGACUGGCCUUGAUUUCAUGUCCUCUUAAGCGUUUCAUGGUCACGUUUUGAGCCGAUAUCUUCUUGCGUUCUUGACGAAUGUUUUUCCUCUUGCUCUGCUUCAUGUCCAUCAAAAACUCAUCAAAGUUUUUAUAAUUACGAUUUUUCCAAUGAUACUGCAUUCCGGUCCUUUGCAGAAAACCUUUCUCCUCCAACUUGUUCCACUCAUUUGAAGUUGGAAAAGUAAUAUGUAGAGAUGAAACUUUAAACUUGGCUGCCAAAUCCUUCAAAGCAGAGACUAGGAUGUCAAAAACUUGAUCUCUAUGUGAAGUGUUGCGGACCAAGAUCCUUGGGCCAGUAACUGGAGUGAAAGGCACCGAGCAUUGCAGCUUUGGGUAAUAGCUCAAACCAUAAUUGUAAUAGGCAUUUGCCCAAGAAUUAUCGAAUACAUAUUCACCAUAGGAAUGGCUUUUGAGAUAGAGAGGAACAACACCUAAAAUAUUUUUACUUGCAUCCUCAGCAAUGAUGUGUUGUGGAAUCCAGCCAGUUCCCUCCACAGCAGAGCCAGACUCCUCUAAGCUCGAAAGAAAACCAUGUGAGAGAAAGGGAUUAAACUGUUGAUGACCUGUGGCAUCCAGACUGCAAGAAUCCCAAUUAUCUGGCGAAACCUCUGCGAUUGAGGAAACCACAGAAACGGAUAUCUUUUCAGGAGUUCCUGUAUUCCCCAGUGAAUCCGCCUCCGAUAAAGUGAAUUCCCCAAACGAAAGAACCUUGUCAGCAGGCUUUACACUUCUUCUUGAACCCCAAAACAGUGCUUUCACUUUGAAAAUACACACUGAAUUGUGGGUAAAG
rnacentral:misc_RNA from 1 species